GGACCGUGACCGGAAAAGUCUCCGAAUUGGGCCGAGGUUUUGGCUAGCCCCCCAUUGUCAGACGUCCCGAGCGCGUCCCCGAAGUCGGAAUCGGCAAAGGUGAGCCGGGACAGCCUUCUUCCUCCGCCCAGCCGCCACAGUAAUUUGUCGUCAAGUCUGCCACAGGAGGAUAUUUUGUUCUGGGUUAACCUGCCUUUUUACCUCGCAGGUUGUUUAUCAAUAUUGUGUAAUUUUAAUUACUCCUAGAAUUUCCGCAUGUGUUAGCAGUAAUUAUUUGAAAUUGGUCUGUAAUAUUAUAUUCAUGUUGGACCUGUAAACUUAAUAUUUUAAGUCUGUUUGAUGGAUUGGAUGAGGGAGCUGAGCUCCCAUUUAUUAUUAUGUUGAUGAGUAUGUGGAGGGUGAGCUGAGCUCCCCAAUGGAUUGUUUAUUGUGUUUACAGGUCGGGUGAGUCGAAAACUCCCCAUUGGAAAGUCUAUUUUAUGGCCGGACUCUGUCCGUUUGUUUU